ACGCUGGAUGCCUGUCCAUACAGUAUGUCAUAUAAUUGCUAACAAUUAAUGUCUCCUUUCUGCAUUUUGAUUAAUGGAGUUUUGCAGGCAAACUUGAAACAUUUAUUUUGAAAAUUACAGAUUGAAUGCUAAUAUUUUGACUAAUUUUGAAGCAUAGUUGCCAAAUAGAGAUUCAAGGCAGGAAAUGAAAUCCUGAUUUGUUAAUCUAGAAUUGAAUAUAUUGCAAAAUUUGGUACAAAUUCUUAAAAGCAAUUAAAUUCGGUAGUACAUAUUUUCAAAAUCAACUUAAAAUUGCAUACGUCAAUGUAAAGAAUCAAAAUAUGAAAUAUUCGAUAAUUAUAUUAUUAUAUAGUCUUACAGAAAAAAAAAAAAUUAAUAUACUAAGGUUUAGUUUCAAUUAAUGUUAUGACAUAAAAAAUGUUAGAUUUGAACGUGAAGCAAUUAAAGUUUUCAAUUUAAUCCCUGACAAUCUUUUCCUCAAAUGCCUUUUAAUUUAUCAAUGAAAGUGUUUAAAGGACGUCUUUAUCAAGUAUAGCAAUUUUAAGUUAAAAUUUUAAUAGACAACAACAAUUACAAUGUGAAAUAAAGUUAUAAUUUUUGGUCUCAGAUCUAAAAAUUUUAUCAAAACCUUCUUACAUGAUACUCUACUGUUUCAUGCAAACUACAGGUCAAAUUAAAUGUUGUGUAUGUAAUGAAAGUUCUGAACAAAUUUUGUCAAACAAAUUGAGAGACAUUUCUUAUAGAAAACCCUUCCAAGUUUGAAUUGAAAUCAUAAAAUUGUUCAAGGUUUGAAUUGUAAUGGUUUAGUUGUUUCUUGUUAGGACGGUAACUUAAAUUGAUCCUUUGCUGUAGUUUUUUAAAUAUUUCUUGUGAUAGAGUAUGAUAAAGCACAAUAUCAGACAAUCCACUAACACAAUAUCUGUAAAACAAAAAUAAUAAAAUGGCAACAAUUCACCUACAACUUGCAACCAUUAACUGGGACUACAAUAGCUCAAGUUUGAUCACAAAACAUACUGUUAACCACACUAGAUCGCUUUGCUAGCUGUUGGGGCAACAGAACCUACAGAGCUUUGCCAGAGUCAAAGUUAUCAAAAAUCAUAAUUGACCAUAAUCAAUUUCGAAAUGUAUGAAUUAUGCACUACUCUGGAAAAGUAUAUAUUUGUCAUCAAAUGUUCAAAUGCAGGUUCAUUUUUCAAUUUCUCUUUGGUCAAUUCAUUCUACCAUUGCAGACAAGUUCACAAUGGCUUGGGAUGAUGGUGAGUGCCAGCAUAAAACCCCUGUGCAUAAGCAGUAUUCUUGAACAUUAUCUGCAAUAAAUAACACACUCGUGAAUGCUUCUGUGACCAAAUGCCCUAUCAUAAAGGUAACCACCAUGCUUAAUAAGAAAUUAUGCAAGCCAUCUCAAGAAUUGAGACAGAAUUACAGCAGAAAACCAUACAUGUUCCUUCAAGCAAUGCCAUAUGACAGUAAAUUUUACUUCAUAACUAAUAAGAAAUGAUGAAUACUCACAGCAAGGCUUUUCAAAUCUGAGCUAAGACGCUUUUUAAUAUCGUCAGCAACCACGGUUCCAAGAUGUUCACCAUGUUGCCUGAUAGAGUCCUCUUUAAUCUCUGACAGCAGAAGACUGGAAGUUCUAUUCAGAAUCUCUUCCACAAGAAGCCCAGCAUCUGAGAAAACACUUGGCUGAUGUGCAGCAACAGCUAGCUUGUCUUUAACAUUUUUUACAGCAACAGGUACCUUGGUAGUUUUUACUGUAGUAGCUGUGGACUUCUUAUAGGCAGAAACAGGAUUUUCAGUAUGACCUUGCAAGGGAACAGUCUUUUCCGGAGGAUCAGACAGAAUAGUGGAACCAGAUGGAACAAAAGCUGCCAGAUCAGGAGGUUGAUCCUUUCCUACUGGUGGAUUAGCCUCCAGGUCAACGAAUGUGGCCUCUCUCCCCACUGACUUAAGAAACUUGUCAAGAUCAUUAGCAUGAAGAGAAAUUGACAUAUCAUUAGAUAGUGGAUGGAAGAAGCAAUGCUCUUGUGUUCUAAAUCCUUUGUCCAGCAAGAGUGACACAUGUCUUGCUGACUCAUUCACCAGUGCAAAAGGAGUAACACAACCCAGAGGAACCUUGAAAAGCAAAAACACAGAACAUCAGAAAGCAAGUUGAACUUCCAGACUAUACACUUAUUAAUUGAAGCAUAAUAAAAAUGUGACCUUUUUUAUUUUGAGUGAUAAAAAAAACUUGAUCAGUACACAUGAAAUUAAAUUUGAAUGCUAAUAAAUACAGUAAAUAAUAGCCAGCAUUUGCUCAUCCAUCUAUUGAGCUUUGCAAAGACUGGAACGCUAUUGCCAUUUCAAUGCAUCAUGGCUUUCAUUGCAGUCAAAUAUACCAGGUUUGAAGGAUGGGUACACCAGAUUAGAAUUUAAGAAAUCACAAUAACUCCAAUGAUAAGUACUAAAGAGAAAAAAUAACGAGAAAUAUGUAAAUUUGAGCAGUAAGUAUGGGGCAUUGCAAGAAAGAGGCAUGUACCUGAAGUAUCUCACCCAAUGCUUCUUCAGGAGCCAUUCUUAUACCUCCUUUUCCCAAACCAAGCCUUUGAGAUAAAACUGCUCAGCCCUUUGCAUAAGUAACAGCCUUUAAUAUCCAACAAACUAAUAAAAUUACAAGAUAAAAAAUCUAAACUUGGUCAAGCACUAAUCAGAGCAAGCCUGUAACAUCUCCAUCUCAAGCCCAUAAUGUCACGAGGUGAAAAAAAAAAUAGAAGUUAGAGGACAAUAUUCACCUUUCAUGUCUACUUUCGUAUCUGCCAAAGCAGAAACAAUAUAUAAUCUACUUUUCUUGUCCUUCAAGAAUAAAUUUUUAGUCAGUCCACCUCCCUUAUCACCCACAUAUUUCGCCUGGGCUUCAACAGUCAAAACGGUGGGAUGUUCAUACUGAGCAAAAUCAAUUUGAAGCUCCUUUAAGCGAGCAAGUAGCUGAUCCUUCGUAUAACCCAUACCGUCCUUCGAAGUAAAUCUGCUUGACGAACCAGAGAGGCCGAAGAAGCGUUAGCAACGAAGAAGAAACGUAGAAG
rnacentral:misc_RNA from 1 species